rnacentral:misc_RNA from 1 species
AACGCAUCUUGCACUCUAGGGCAUUCCCUAGAGUACGCCUGUUUCAGUGACAGAAAGACCCCUCGUCUUAAAAUUUAUUUUUAGACGGAUUUGACUAGUUGGGUACGUCCUCGGAUGAACUCAAUUCAAGUCUAAUAAUUGAUGACUUAUAUUGACUAUAAGCUUGAUUACAGGUAUCAACUUGUAUCUUUUUGAUAUCAUUAGGAUAUAAGGCCUUGAAUUAGGUUGCUCAGUAUGCGAGUCUAAACAACUCUAUACCGUAAGGUAUAUACUUCAUAUUUGUUCUGAAAUCAGGUGGGAUUACCCGCUGAACUUAA